AAACCGUUCAGGGGUAAACCUAAGAAACCCAAAAGAUCGAACGGGGAGAUUCAUCGUCAGCGGCGUUGGCUUCGCGUCGGUGGGCGAUGUCCCGCGGGUUCGCUCGCGGGCACGCCGCCGUGCGCGCACGUCCGACGUCGUCGUCGUGCACUUCUCCCCAAGUAGGACGUCGCGACUCGCUGGGUGUCGGUCUACGGCCCGAGUGCGGUGUCUGUCGCGUCGCCGGUAAAACGGCACGCGGCAAACCCUCGGUCGCCCGGCCGGCUGCCCGGCGGUACUCGCAAGGUAUCAGGCCGCGAAAAACUCUGUCUUUCGCGUCAGGCCCGUCGCAAGCGCGCGCCACGGUACCCGGAGGUACGGACCUAGCGCCGUCCCCGGUCCUGGUCCGCUGUUGGCCGACGGUGAUCCUUUGACAGGCCUUAAACGGGGGCGGGCGGUGCCUCGCGCGCCGCUCCCCUCGAUACCGGUCGGCGACGCUACUGCUUUGGGUACUCUUAGGA
rnacentral:rRNA from 1 species